rnacentral:sRNA from 1 species
GAAAUUAUUUUCCUUUCAAAUUAUUGAUGCUAGUUUUAAGAUUUCUGUAAAAGCGUGCGGAUUUUAACCUCUACGGGCAUACAUCUAAGCCCGUAAACGGCUUGCUGCGCUCUCUAAAUCAUAAAAAGAUUUGGAGCCUCAACCAAUUUACGCUGAUAAAAGCGUUUUCUGGGGAACAUGCUAAAAAUAGUUUCUUCAAACAAUUUGGACAAGGUGUCAGCCAAAUUCAAAUUGAUGCUUAUGGCAGAAUAUUUUCCUGUGGCUCCGAUGGAUGUAUGAAAGUUCGGCAAUUAUUUGAAAAGGACACUAUUGUUCAAACUAUGUAUUAAACAAAUGACGUAUAUUAAUAAUUGUUCUUAUUUGUUAAAUGUUCAAAAAACCGAUAAUUUUAACAAUAAAUAAUGUGUUACAUAGUAAGUAAAACAUA